AGAGUACGUGAAACUGCUUAGAGGUUAAGCCCGAUGAACCUGAAUAUCCGUUAUGGAAAAUUCAUCACUAAUAAUAUGAUAUUAUAAUAAUAUUAUAAAAAUAGUGUGCAAUUUUUCCAUAUAAGGACAUUGUAAUCUGUUAAUGUAAUAAAUAUUUAUCAAAAGAUCCAUUACAUUAAGUUUAUUUAAAUUAGUUAUUUUCGGAUUUCUAACAUAAAAUAAAAGUUUUGGAUUUGAUAAAUCAUUGACAGAUAUAAUUAUAUAAUGUGCUUAAAUUCUUCGGAAUUUUAUAAUGGUAAUUAAAUCUAUUGAUUUUUUUAUUUAAUUAUAUGCGCUAUUAUGAUUAACAAUGCGAUAGAUUCAGGAGACCUUCGGGACCCGUCUUGAAACACGGACCAAGGAGUCUAACAUAUGUGCAAGUCAUUGGGUAUUUUUAAUAAAACCCAAUGGCAUAAUUAACUUAACUGUUAUUUAAUUAAUGGGAUUAGUUUUGAUUUUGUUAUGAAAUUUUAAUUCAAUCCCGGGGCGUUCUAUAUAGUUAUGUAUGAUGGUAUAUAUUUAUAUGUAUUAUUUAUGCCUCUAACUAGAGCGUACCUUGAGCAUAUAUGCUGUGACCCG
rnacentral:rRNA from 1 species